rfam:Lepisosteus oculatus linkage group LG2, whole genome shotgun sequence.
GCCAGCAACCAUAUUACCCUGCAACUCACAACUGGCAGCCCAAUGAAGCUAAGCAGGUGUGAGCCUGGUCAGUACCUGGAUAGGAGACCUCCUGGGAAAAACUAUGGUUGCUGCUGGAA